GGGGCACUUUAUACCCAACAAGUCCUAUAAGUCGUCACUGUCUAACAACGAUAGGAGCAAUUAAGGUUUAGCCUUAUUUUGAGAAAUGAGAACAAUGACCUAAUGUAUAUGAAUUAUUUGAAGCCUAGAGACUUGAAUUUUAGUCUCAAGAUUCUCUCACUAUUUUAUUCAAAUUAGUAGCCUCUACCUCUAAUUCGGAGAAUUACUUUAAUUUUCUAGUAGAUACU
rnacentral:lncRNA from 1 species